UACGGAGGGGGCUAGCGUUGUUCGGAAUUACUGGGCGUAAAGCGCGCGUAGGCGGACCUGCAAGUCGGGGGUGAAAGCCCGAGGCUCAACCUCGGAACUGCCUUCGAUACUGCGGGUCUCGAGUCCGGGAGAGGUGAGUGGAAUUCCUAGUGUAGAGGUGAAAUUCGUAGAUAUUAGGAAGAACACCAGUGGCGAAGGCGGCCUUCUGGACAGUGACUGACGCUGAGACGCGAAAGCGUGGGGAGCAAACAGG
rnacentral:rRNA from 1 species